GAACGCUGGCGGCGUGCUUAACGCAUGCAAGUCGAACGGAAAGGCCCUGCUUUUGUGGGGUGCUCGAGUGGCGAACGGGUGAGUAACACGUGAGUAACCUGCCCUUGACUUUGGGAUAACUUCAGGAAACUGGGGCUAAUACCGGAUAGGAGCUCCUGCUGCAUGGUGGGGGUUGGAAAGUUUCGGCGGUUGGGGAUGGACUCGCGGCUUAUCAGCUUGUUGGUGGGGUAGUGGCUUACCAAGGCUUUGACGGGUAGCCGGCCUGAGAGGGUGACCGGCCACAUUGGGACUGAGAUACGGCCCAGACUCCUACGGGAGGCAGCAGUGGGGAAUAUUGCACAAUGGGCGGAAGCCUGAUGCAGCAACGCCGCGUGCGGGAUGACGGCCUUCGGGUUGUAAACCGCUUUCGCCUGUGACGAAGCGUGAGUGACGGUAAUGGGUAAAGAAGCACCGGCUAACUACGUG
rnacentral:rRNA from 1 species